AACGAACGCUGGCGGCAUGCCUAAUACAUGCAAGUCGAACGAAACCUCCGGGACCGUUGGCGCCUGGGUGCGUAGCGCGUGGGAAGCGGCCCGUAGGGUAGGACUAACUCAACGAACGGGGUACCAAGGGCGGACAAUGUCUAACAACCGAUGAUAUAUCGGCUUUGUAUGGGCCCGAGUGGGAUUCGGUAGUGGGUAGGGUUACAGCCUACCAAGGUGACGAUCCGUAGCUGGUCGGAGAGGAUGGUCAGCCACACUGGGAAUGGGACACGGCCGAGACUCCUACGGAAGGAAGCAAUGGGGAAUGUUGGACGACGGGCGAAAGACUGAGGCAGCCAGGCCGCGUGAGUGAGGAAGGCCUGAGGGAUGUAAAGCUCUGUUAACCGGGAAGAUAAUGACGGUACCGGAAGAGAAAGCUCCGGCUAACUACGUG
rnacentral:rRNA from 1 species